ensembl:lncRNA
AUGGAUGUGAAUCUAACGAUCUCUCUAAUGAGGGGACAGAUGGGUGUAGUUAUAGAGAAGGCGGUGAACGCCGCGGUGGAGACCGUGCUGGGCGAGAUGAUCCGAGUGGUCAGCCUGAAAUUCGAGGAGUUUAGGAAGGAGAUGAACGCCAAAGAGAAGGAGAACGAGAACAUCAGGAACAUGCUGGAGGUGUCGCGGUGUCAGAUGAAGACCAUGCGGAGAUAUGUGAACGCGCUGACGGCUCGAGAGGACCGGCAGGCUCUGCUCAGUCACAGACCGGACAGACCCGUGGUGCUUCAGUUCGAGUCGGGCAGGGUCAGGGCUGCUCACCACAGCAGAGACCACCUUAUGCCUCCGAGAAGAGCCCCAGCGACCAGUGUUAACCAUAACCCUCCCCCCUGUGUUGAAGUGCAGAAUACAGUACAGAAUACAGCCGCAAAAUCGGCUCAUGUCGCAGAGAACACAUGGGAGAAGACCGUGCCUGUGUCUCGACCUCAAACCAUGCCUCAACCACUCGUCCAACCCGCCGAGACCUUCAUCAACCCUCCUGAGAACUACAGCGAGGGAGAGACCAGUGCACCAAAGAUGCACAUGGGCUCUCUGAAAGGAGAGAACUCAGCUGCUGCCAUGUUGGAAAGUGAAGGUCUAGUGGCAGAAAGCAAUGAUCCCCUGUGGGGUCAAACACCUCCAGCUACUUCUGAGGUGGAGCACACAGACACUGUGGACUCUGGCAUGCUCCCUGUUACCGACAACAAUGAAGGAUUUAGCACAGCUACAGCGAUCUGUGGAGGGUCUCCGCCUUUCAAAAUUAAACAAGAAGAAGGAGAGGUUGAAAUCGUCCAUGUGAAGGAGGAGCCAGUGGAAGCAGCCAAUUCUGAAUGUGCUCAGCUAGAGCUCUGUCAGCAAGCUGUAGAAGCAGGACCUAGUAUUUCCCUAGAUCUGCCUUUGGCCCAGCAGUGUCACCAGCUCUCUAUGCCUUCUAUUACGGAUCCAGGCUUUCUGGGAGUGGACCCUAGUACAUAUGCUGAGUCUCAGUUGGCCAUGGCGGGGGACCAGAGGCAGGUGCGUCCAUGGUGUAAGGACCUGAACCUGUACGAUGAGUAUAAGCGUAAACGCAUCGAGAUACGGAAGCGCAGUGAGACGAGGCGGCGAGAGCUGGAGCAGACUCUGCCUCAGGCCCUGCUGGCCGACCUGGUGAAGGAGCGCAGGGAGAAGACUCGUCUUCGAGUUGCCCGCUGGCGAGCCAAACGCAAGCUUCAGGCAUGCCUGAUGUCACAGGCAUCCCAGUUAAACGGAGGACCAACACAGGGGUUGUUCACUCAGAGAGGCAAUCGGAGGCGAGCAGAGACGGUUGGACAGCAGAGGAGCUUCGGGGCCCUCGGUAGACCUAGUCCGUCUGAGACUGGAGCAUACAACCUGCCCCUACAGAUCGGAUCCAGUCCUUUACUGGCAGCGCAGAGACUCAGUGUGGCUGAGGGUCAAAUGCCAUCUGGAUCCACUAUGUUUCCACAUCAUUCAGUUCCAACAGCUGGCUCUGAGAUGUUUCAAUGACUGUUAUUUACAAAUACAACAUGAGAUCUGGAAGUUUAAGGAGCUCAAGUUUGGUUACAGGACAGUGGUACGGUGAACGUUUUAAUUUAUUACAUACAUUUCUUUAGAGUUUGAAAUUUAAAAGCCAUUUUGUCUUACAAUGAGAUGUGUCAAUACAAACACAUGGGUCACUCAUUGUUUUGUUCUUAGGGAACACAUUUGGUUAUGAUUGUGUUGCAGUGAUAAGAUUACCUCCUGGUUCCUGCAUUUCACGAGUCUAUUUAUAUUUCUCGUUAAAUCUACUCUCUGGAUAGUAUCCAAGUACUGCUUACAUCUGGUGAGACAAAAGCAUCUCUGUUAGAUAUACACAGAUUACAUGCAAAUCCAUGGAUUUCUUCUUUCUUCCAGAAUUCUCUACGAUGGCACUAGGCACCAAAGAAAUUGUGUUCUGUGCAGUUGUGAAUUUAAUUAGAACUAGAACUCUAAUUGUUUGUACAACGGUUAAGGUAUAGGGUGACAAGCUCUUGUUUUGUCUUGUCACCCAUGAUUGGUUUCAACUACAAUAGACAGUCGGAUCAGGUAGCAGUUCUUCUACACCAUGUCUUGGUUUUAUUUACACAGACCUUUUACAAACCAUGUCCAGUAGCUGAGCAUAAAUCUGUAUGAAGCUUCAUACUGUGUCUGUUGGGAGGUCUAUGUAUUGUACUGCACUGAUAUGCCAAAAGUCAUGGUAUAGCACUAUGUAACUUGACUGUCAAUAUCAUGUUAUUUUAGAGGAUGGCUUGGGAACACGCUUACCAGUACCUGAGAUCUGAGUAGGUGCCAGAUCAAUGGGACUUUCUAUUUCUAAAGUCGUGCUGGCAUUUAACUAGUGACUGGCCAAGUUACGAGUGACAAUACUGAUACACGUUCUGGUAAAAAUAUUUUCAUUUUAUUAUUUAUUUAACAGAAAUAUUUUUAUUAUAAGCAUUAUUGUUGCUGGUAUUGUGUUUAGGCUUAGAUCAUGAGGUUGAAACUGCUGCCAGCACAUCCUAUUAGGAGAGGAAAAAUAUACACAUACACUGAAUUUAAAUGCAUUCUAAGCUCAUUUAUUUAUGAGAGAUGGUACCUAAACUCUGUGUCCGAUGAUUAAGUAUAUUAUACAUUAAGCAGCAUCUCUAUAAUCCCUUAAGAUUUGAAUUGUCUAGUUUAGUGUGUUUCUGGAAAGCACGAGUGAGAGUCAGCUGCUUUGUCUGUAUAUCAUUGACUCCCACUACUCUCACCUGAAAUCAAUGCAGGUGCUUGAUUGAAAAUUAAUUGUAUGAUGAAGCGUAUUUCCCGUUGGCUUAAUUUUCAGGAUUUACAAGUUAUAUAAAAAAAACAAAAACAGCUAGAUGUUACUGGCUUGCAUAGUACCGAUUUCUGUUUGGAACUGCCUGUGUCCAGACUAUCAAUUCUACCAGAAAUCACAUCCACAUUCAAUGCAGGAGGCCUCGCUCAUCCCACAGGUUAGUGCAGUACUCAGGACUAGUUCCUGUUGUCCCAUUACAUUUGGCAUGUCAGUGUACGUACUGUUCUAAACGUUGAACUAUUUCCGUUUAAAAUGACUGAAAGUUCAACCAUAGCAAUAAAGGCAGAACUGUACAGAGAUUAUACUGUUAA